AUGGAUUGUGAUUAUUACAAAUUAAGCAAGAAAACCAACAAGUAUAUAUCUCUUAAUUGUUAUAUUAUGUGCAAAUCUAAUGAGGAGACGGCUUGCAACUUACUGAUCUCAAAUCUGUUUGUCUAUUGCAUUUGGAAAAAGCUCCGGCCCCUCCAUGAGGGUGGUACCUCCCUACUAUUUGAUUAUAGAAGAACUCAAGCUAUUCAGUUCAGUUAUAACAAAAGAUCCAAUAUAUAGAGUUCCAGUUGAUUGUAGCUGCAGCGUCAGCCAAGCAGAAAUAAUAUCGCCUCUAAUAGGUGUCUAAACCAAGUGCAGAUGGCUCCUUGGCUUCCAGACAUUAAACUACAACAGCUACAUAUAAACCUUUGAGAAAUUCCAAAAACAGUAAACAAGGAGAUAUACAAGAGGUUGUGACUACAAACAAGGUACUACAAGAGGUUGUGACUACAAACAAUGAGAUAUACUGACACCCUCAACUAUCCCACCUACCAAUACAUUUUACAUUACACUAAAUUCAAAAAAAAAGUAGUUGUGUAUUAAAUCCCUAGUUAGCCAGGCAAUAAGCCAAGCCAUUAACUGAUAUUUGAACCCAUUUAAUUUCAAUCUGCAUAUCCUUUGAGUACAAUUUGAAGCACAUUAUUUCAUUCCUAAAGCUCCAAUUAACAUCCACCUCCUUCAAGCAUCUACUAUAGAGGAGUCAAACAAUCUAUCCAUGUUAACAGCAGGAUCCCACUUACAACCAAAAAAAGCAAGAAUCAAUUUAAAAUACAAGCCAAUGGGCAAGAGAUUAAUAAGAGGCAAGCAAUCUCACCAAUCAAUUUUCACAUGAUGUAUCAAUUAGGAAAUAUAGGCUAGCCAGAUCUCCGUUUUU